CCCCGUCCAGUAGAAGAACCAUUACACAACAUCAAACCAGGGGAUUACGUGGUGGUAAAGAACCUCAGGAGGAAAUCCUGGAAAGCCAGACGGUGGGAGGGGCCAUUUCAGGUUCUGCUGACGACUCACACCGCUGUGAAGGUCGCGGAGCGUGCCACCUGGGUGCACGUUGCCCAUUGCCGGAGGUUUGGUCCGGGACUGCAAGGUGUAAACCAAAGGGAGGACGGCUAGUCGACUGCUACGGACCACUUUUUCGUAUUGGUGGGAACCACAGAUACCUGUAUACUGCAAGUUUAUACGAAGAACGACACGAGAGAACUGCAACAGCUCACAAAGUAUUGGAGGACGACUCCAGUAUUCUGGGUUUGGUUUGGACACACGCACACGACAUCUUUAAUGAUAGCUUGGCACGACUGCACCGUGUGGUCCUACCAAACCCGAACCUACAAAGGAAAUUAAUCAACAAGGGCUCACGACCCCAACUCUAACUGUGCUCAGGGCUCACGACCCCAACUCUAACUGUGCUCAGGGCUCACGACCCCAACUCUAACUGUGCUCAAUCCGGAAUCAUCAAGGGCUCACGACCCCAACUCUAACUGUGCUCAAUUUUUUCAAGAAAACGAACUAUUUUUCUUCUUUCAAAAAUGAGAUUCAUGAUCAUACUAUGUGUGUGUGCAUUUUUACUUUUGCAACUGCACAGAACUACAUGUACACUAUGGUUAAGGGUAAUAACCAGAGCUACGUAACGAUGACAGUAAAUGAAGUUAUGAAUAAAUCAUAAAAAGGGAGGAGUGUAGUGGAGGACUUUUAUUAUGCUUUUAUUUUCAUAUUAUUAUGUUUUAUUUUUCAUCCUAUUUUUCAUUUUUUAAUAACAAUCUGAAGCUCACAAAUUGUGAUUCAUAUGGAGAUCAUGUUUUUCUGCUAACGUACAGAAUUAUGCUCUUUCUGUCUUUUGAGCAAAGUACAAUGUCCAAGGACUUAAACAUCAUGUACUGAGAACAAGACAUACGUUUUAUGAUUUCACUAGAUUUGUGUUUAACUGUUCAUGCUCUUAAUCACUGACAACUGAAGGCUAUCUUCUAAAUGACGUAGAAACGGAUGAUUGUA